CCAGAGCUGCUACAGAGAAACUGUGUCUUGAAAAACAAAAACAAAAAGAUAACUUUACUUGAUACCUGGUUCAUUUAUUUAAAUUUUUGUUCGUUUGACUUACAUGUUCAUUUUAUCUCUAGAAGCUCUAUUUGCUUCUCUUCUGACCUGCUCUUAAGUUGUAUCCCACCUUCCUGAUUUUGUAUUCUAAAUAUAAACUUAUGUCAUAUUAUGAAUCAAUUUCAGUAAAUGGGAUUUUUACAUCUAACAAUACCGUGGGGGUUGUUGCGGGUGCAUUGCUUGUUUGUUUGUUUGUUUGUUCUUACCCUCAUUCUUGUGCUUUCUGUGCUUGGACUUUAAAAUUUUUUUUUUGUUUUUUUAACUGAGUUCUACUUGGUAGCUCAGGAUCACUUUGAACUCAUGUCAAUCCUGUUUGAGCCUCCUGAGUGCUGUGUGUUUGAAGGAGGCUUUGUUUGUUUGUUUGUUGCUUCUAUGUUUGUAUUUUGUUGAAUUGUAUGAAUCCUAAGACCUAAAAUGUGAAAUGUUUGUUGUUAUAUUUCAGGAAGGACUUGAGGACUUGGCAGGGACCAGCAUUGUUUUCAGAAUCAUGUACACACACACACACACACACACACACACACACACACACACUGUGGUGAGGCAGAAGCCAUAGUGUGAGGAUCAGAAACCCAGAGUAAAAGACUGGGAGGUGAUGAGAAGCCUGUGGUGGGUGUAUUGAGCAGGAUGGCAAUUUGAUGUGCAAGACGAAGCAAACAGAAAAGAGGUGGUGUCAGCAUGGCUUAAGGUGGCAGUAGUGAGGGAGUGGCUCUCAGAAAACAGCACAAGGUGACCUAUCCCAAGAAGAGGCCAAGUUGGUCAGUGCCCGUACUUUCAAGCCCAGAACCAGGACAUACUCUCUUGAGGUGCCAUCUGUGAAGUCAGGGAGUCACCAGCCUCUGGUGGCAUUCAUUCUCAUACUUCCUGAGCUGUUUGACGUUGAUAAAAUAAAUGAUGGGUAUGAAA